rnacentral:lncRNA from 1 species
GUUGAAUGAAUGAACGAGUAAGGUUAGAGAGGCAGGCAUGAGCCAGAUCCUGAAUUGAUUUGAAUGCCAUGGACAACAUCCAGAGGUGUCCAGAAAGAAGGUGGCCUUGACCAGAAUUCCUCAGCCUUGGCUGCACAUGAGAACCAGUGAGGGAGCCCUAAAAACGCUGAUGCCCAGGCUCCACCCAGACCUAUAGGUGCAGAACCUCUAGGGGAGGGCCCAGCCAUCGCGCUUUGAAAAAUCUCCUCAG